GGCGCACGGGUGCGUAACGCGUAUGCAACCUACCCUUUACUGGGGGAUAGCCCGGAGAAAUUCGGAUUAAUACCCCAUGGUAUUUACAGAUGGCAUCUGAAGUAAAUUAAAGAUUUAUCGGUAAGGGAUGGGCAUGCGUGACAUUAGCUAGUUGGUGAGGUAACGGCUCACCAAGGCAACGAUGUCUAGGGGUUCUGAGAGGAUGAUCCCCCACACUGGUACUGAGAUACGGACCAGACUCCUACGGGAGGCAGCAGUAGGGAAUAUUGGUCAAUGGGCGAGAGCCUGAACCAGCCAUGCCGCGUGCAGGAAGACAGCUUUCUGAGUUGUAAACUGCUUUUAUAUGGGAAGAAAAAGGUCCUGCGGGACACAUUGCCGGUACCAUAUGAAUAAGCACCGGCUAACUCCGUGCCAGCAGCCGCGGUAAUACGGAGGGUGCAAGCGUUGUCCGGAUUUAUUGGGUUUAAAGGGUGCGUAGGCGGAUCUUUAAGUCAGUGGUGAAAUCCUGCAGCUUAACUGUAGAACUGCCAUUGAUACUGGA
rnacentral:rRNA from 1 species